AUUGAACGCUGGCGGCAGGCCUAACACAUGCAAGUCGAGCGGCAGCGGGAAAGUAGCUUGCUACUUUUGCCGGCGAGCGGCGGACGGAUGAGUAAUGCCUGGGGAUCUGCCCAGUCGAGGGGGAUAACUACUGGAAACGGUAGCUAAUACCGCAUACGCCCUACGGGGGAAAGCAGGGGACCUUCGGGCCUUGCGCGAUUGGAUGAACCCAGGUGGGAUUAGCUAGUUGGUGAGGUAAUGGCUCACCAAGGCGACGGUCCCUAGCUGGUCUGGGGGGAUGGACAGCCACACUGGAACUGAGACACGGUCCAGACUCCUACGGGAGGAAGCAGUGGGGAAUAUUGCACAAUGGGGGAAACCCUGAUGCAGCCAUGCCGCGUGUGUGAAGAAGGCCUUCGGGUUGUAAAGCACUUUCAGCGAGGAGGAAAGGUUGGUAGCUAAUAACUGCCAGCUGUGGCGUUACUCGCAGAAGAAGCACCGGCUAACUCCGUGCCAGCAGCCGCCGUAAUAC
rnacentral:rRNA from 1 species